UACAGAGGGUGCGAGCGUUGUCCGGAAUCACUGGGCGUAAAGGGCGCGUAGGUGGCGCCCCAAGUCAGUGGUGAAAGCUCGCCGCUUAACGACGAGUCGGCCACUGAGACUGGGGGGCUGGAGCACUGUAGAGGCAGAUGGAAUUCCGGGUGUAGCGGUGGAAUGCGUAGAGAUCCGGAAGAACACCGGUGGCGAAGGCGGUCUGCUGGGCAGUAGCUGACACUGAGGCGCGACAGCGUGGGGAGCAAACAGG
rnacentral:rRNA from 1 species